GACGAACGCUGGCGGCGUGCUUAACACAUGCAGGUCGAACGGAAAGGCCCUGCUUUUGUGGGGUGCUCGAGUGGCGAACGGGUGAGUAACACGCGAGUAACCUGCCCUUGACUUUGGGAUAACUUCAGGAAACUGGGGCUAAUACCGGAUAGGAGCUCCUGCUGCAUGGUGGGGGUUGGAAAGUUUCGGCGGUUGGGGAUGGACUCGCGGCUUAUCAGCUUGUUGGUGGGGUAGUGGCUUACCAAGGCUUUGACGGGUAGCCGGCCUGAGAGGGUGACCGGCCACAUUGGGACUGAGAUACGGCCCAGACUCCUACGGGAGGCAGCAGUGGGGAAUAUUGCACAAUGGGCGGAAGCCUGAUGCAGCAACGCCGCGUGCGGGAUGAAGGCCUUCGGGUUGUAAACCGCUUUCGCCUGUGACGAAGCGUGAGUGACGGUAAUGGGUAAAGAAGCACCGGCUAACUACGUG
rnacentral:rRNA from 1 species